rnacentral:lncRNA from 1 species
GCUUGUUAAAAAUGGAAGCAUUCCUGAAACCUCCGCAGAGUCUGCUUGGUGAUUCCACCCCUCACCCUCCCUAACCGAGCUUCAGAACCAGAAUACAGACAGGCAAACAACAACAAGUGGCACCCGAACUUGGGGCUCACGUAUAUCAGAGCAUUUCUGCAGCAGCCAGUGGGAGGGCGGAUGCUCCGUCGCCCAAGGCUCAUCUUUUCCUCCUCCUGUGACCACCUGCUUUCUGCCUCAGCACUUGGAUUCACCUUACAGUCCAGCUGCUUCCCCUGUUCC